rnacentral:rRNA from 1 species
GAUCCGGCUCAGGACGAACGCUGGCGGCGUGCCUAAUACAUGCAAGUAGAACGCUGAAGGAGGAGCUUGCUCUUCUGGAUGAGUUGCGAAUGGGUGAGUAACGCGUAGGUAACCUGCCUGGUAGCGGGGGAUAACUAUUGGAAACGAUAGCUAAUACCGCAUAAGAGUAGAUAUCGCAUGAUAGCUGCUUGAAAGGUGCAAUUGCACCACUACCAGAUGG